AGGCGCCAUCUCGGGUUCUGCGAAUGCACCAGCCACACGGGGCACAGCUCAGCUCCCUUCAUGUCAAGGAGACGCAUGCAGGAAAACUCCCCAGAGGAUUGUCUCUUGCACAGCUCCCCUUCCUUUCAAUGGGGGUUGCGCAGGAGAACUCCCCAGAGGAUUGUGCCUGAGGAUGGGAGAGAAAUUUGGUUCAAUUCACAGCUGCAGGAAGGCAUUGCUUAGCAGGUUCAUUCAGAAGGUACGAAGAUAAGAAGAGCCAGGUUGCUGGAUCAGACCAAAGGCCCUCCUAGCACAGCAUCCCAUCCUCACAGCCUCCGACCAGGUGCCCCACAAGCAGGGCUGAGCACAGCAGCACCGCACAAACGUCUAUUUGCCCCUGGAACCCAUGGAGAAUAAGCUUCAUGUUGCCCCUUUAACGUGGCAUGCAGCUGACCCUCCGUCUCUCUCAAGCCCACCCCCUGACCUCACCCUGUUCUUGAUGGAGGUGCUCAGCCUCUCCUCCGUUCCCUCCCAUUUAGGUCGGAUGACCAUCAGUCAUGGAUGCUUUAGCCGAGAUUCCUGCAUUGCAAAGAGUUGGACUAGUUGACCCUCGGGGUUCCUUACAACUCUACAGUUCUAUGAUUCUUUGACCCCCUCCCCUGUUUUUAAGAGCACCACAGAGUUUAACAGAAGUAUAGAUGCCAGUUUAUUAAUAAUACAACAUCAAUAAUACAUGUGAGCUCAACAGAGUUGGCUCAAUGUUUCCAGCAACUCACCAGGAUUUAUCCUCCUGAGACGUGUAGCAAAAAUUUCCACAGCUGAGAGAGAACGGAGCCGAGAGGAUUUGUAAGAUUCACAGGAAGCUCCUUGGUCUCAGGAGCAACUUGCAUGACAACCCAGAGAAAUGCACCUGGGCUCAGAGACCUGCACUGGGAGCCAAUUUGCCACUGGGCCAAGUAUACAAAGUCCUUAAUAACUUGGGACCAGUUUACCUGUGAGAUUGCUUUACCCCAUAUUUGCCCACUUGAUUGUGUCGACCUACAGAACUGGCAGCGUUACGUGUGCCACACAAUAAUUGUUCCACCUUGGUAAGAAAUCAGUCAUUUAGUUGGCAGCAACACCCACACUGGAUCUCCCUACCUGUGGACAGCAGGAAGGCACCCUCCUGGCAUUCUUUAUGGCCCCUCUGAAAACAUUUUUGUUUAGGCAAGACUACACAGACAUGAAUAAUGUUAACGUGUUUUAAUUUAUCAUGUAUUUAAAUUGUUUUUGAAUGUUUUAAAUAGUUACUUUAAACUGUUAUUACUGAUA